rnacentral:rRNA from 1 species
CAGGCUGCAACUCGCCUGUAUGAAGUCGGAAUUGCUAGUAAUCGUGGAUCAGCAUGCCACGGUGAAUACGUUCCCGGGCCUUGUACACACCGCCCGUCACACCAUGAGAGCCGGGAACACCCGAAGUCCGUAGUCUAACCUAUAUGGAGGACGCGGCCGAAGGUGGGUUUGGUAAUUGGGGUGAAGUCGUAACAAGGUACC